rnacentral:misc_RNA from 1 species
ACACACACACACACUGACAAAGAAAAAAGAGGCAGAGAACCACUUCUCUGCAAUCUUUGGAAUAUCCACCAAAAUCAUAGAUAAAUUUCAGCACCUUCCUUCUCUUUUAUAUCUACAAAACAAGUCAGUAUGGUCUUAUUUUGAUUGUUUGUGACUUUAUGCAUCUGGGAUUUGCUGCUUCCAAUUUCUUCUUCCACUUGUACUUGUUUAGGUCUUGAUUCACUCAUAAAAGGUGUAAUGCUUUUAUGCAUAGAUAUUCAAGAUAGUCAAGCGUAUAUUACUGUUAUUAUCCGCAUGGAAUUCUUAUGUUAUUUUUAGUUAACUAUUCCCACUUCUUACUUUUCCCCCUGUAUUUUGCCCCAGAAAGAUUACUAUUUCUUGUUUGAACAUGAAUAUGUUGACCUUUUCUCGCAUAUUUUUACUAAGCUAUUAGCAUGUGUAUAUGUUUCUUGAUUAUCAGGUGCAGGAGCAGAAUUAACUCUUUAUCUUUCAGGGGGAGAAGAUGACUGUUAAAAAGAAAAUAAACGAAUUUUUAUACAUAAAAAAAAUUAAGAGAUCAAAAUUUAAUGGUAUAAAUAAAAUUUAUAUAAAAGUUUGGGGCCACAACAGAAAUAAAAAAAUAUUUGGAGAGAGAAAUAGUAUUUUUUUCAAAAAAAAUACACUCUAACAUUUUAAUUUUCAAGAGUUUUUGGGGCCAUGGCUAGUGAUAUGCCAUCAUGUUUGUUUGAUAAAUUAUGCAAGUUAUAUUUUUCUUAAUGUGAAGAAAAAAGGUGUAAAGUUAUAUUAGAAAGGUUUCCAAUUAAAUUAUAUGUGCUUUUAUGAAUCCAAAAACAAUAAAAUUAAAAUCCAAUAAAGGUUAGCUAGUUUGAAUAAAGGUUUCAUAAUGAAAUAGGCUGUCCUUUGGUUCAUGGUUACUUUUUAAUCUUCUGUUUGGAAUCUAUAAUUUUAGGAGAAUUUAAUUUAAUUGAUUUCUUUUUUAUCAAUUAUAUAUUUGGAAUGAAAGAAUUCAUUUCUUCUCAACUUAAAAAAAAAAUCAUUUUUGAAAAAUU